GGGCAGUGGGCUGGAUGACAGGAGGGGGAGGAGUCGAAGGGCAGUGGGCUGGAUGACAGGAAGAGGAGGAGUCGUAGGGCAGUGGGCUGGAUGACAGGAGGGGGAGGAGUCGAAGGGCAGUGGGCUGGAUUCUAACCCUUAUACCAAUAAAUGACAAUACUUCCUCGAUAUGGACAGCAAGACGGCCGUUCAACCCGAUGAGGUCCUCGAUAUGGACAGCAAGACGGCCGUUCAACCCGAUGAGGUCCUCGAUAUGGACAGCAAGACGGCCGUUCAACCCGAUGAGGUCCUCGAUAUGGACAGCAAGACGGCCGUUCAACCCGAUGAGGUCCUCGAUAUGGACAGCAAGACGGCCGUUCAACCCGAUGAGGUCCUCGAUAUGGACAGCAAGACGGCCGUUCAACCCGAUGAGGUCCUCGAUAUGGACAGCAAGACGGCCGUUCAAUCCGAUGAGGUCCUCGAUAUGGACAGCAAGACGGCCGUUCAACCCGAUGAGGUCCUCGAUAUGGACAGCAAGACGGCCGUUCAACCCGAUGAGGUGUUUCUACGCAUGAGCUUAGCUAGUCAAUGUCUCCAUGACAUCACCUACAAGUGUAAUCGAGGAUUUCUAUUGGAGAGGCAGUUUCUGUCUACCUUCGUAGAUGAUGGUGGAGGUUCCUGUCUGUAAGUGGGUGUUUCUUCUCUCACGUGAGCAUGCUUUUCCCACGUGUGAUCCUCAAUAAUGUCUGGCGUGCUCACGCAGCAGAGGGAACAGCUGGCUCGGGUCUAUUUAUUGCCCCCCUUCCCACAAAAUAGGGAAUAUAGUGGAAUUUGGUUCUUGUGUAAAAUGGUACUUACGGAACUGUUGUAUGCAAAAUAUGUUGUUGGCUUAAAGGACCCGUCCCCGUCCCCCCUCCAGAGGAAGUUGUCCUCACUAUUUCAACGUCAUUUCCUGUCCUAGAGAUUAAAUGCACCUUUUAUGUUCCACCUCUAAAGAAUGACGAAAGCUACUUCUACAUUUUUUUACGAAUUGGCUGUCGAAAUUUCCACGUGAAGUUUAAAACAGCUGUCAGUGUAGCUAGCCAUCUUGCUAACCUUAUCUAGCUAGCCAUCUUGCUAACCUUAUCUAGCUAGCCAUCUUGCUAACCUUAUCUAGCUAGCCAUCUUGCUAACCUUGUUUAGCUAGCCAUCUUGCUAACCUUAUCUAGCUAGCCAUCUUGCUAACCUUGUCUAGCUAGCCAUCUUGCUAACCUUAUCUAGCUAGCCAUCUUGCUAACCUUGUCUAGCUAGCCAUCUUGCUAACCUUGUCUAGCUAGCCAUCUUGCUAACCUUGUCUAGCUAGCCAUCUUGCUAACCUUGUCUAGCUAGCCAUCUUGCUAACCUUAUCUAGCUAGCCAUCUUGCUAACCUUAUCUAGCUACCUAAUGUUAUGUUGUUGCUCAGAUUUUUGUGUUUUGUUUACUGUACUGUAUUCAGAGGAUUAGCCAGCUGGCUCUAUGGCUGGUUCUGGAGCUGGAUGUGUCAAAAGCAUUGAUUUGAUUUAGGAGGAGGAAGAGGAGUAGUACUAGGUGGGAUCUUAAUUUGAUCACCCUGUUGACGCAGAACAUUUUCCUGCGCAGCAUAAAAUGCUUUGUGAUUUACAUAAAUUCACUGAAAUAUGUCACGGAACUGGCUAACUAACUAUAGCCUUCUGCUAUUGAAGCACUCGCUAAGUCUAAGGGUCCAUAGCUACAUGGUCUGUCACCUAAUUUUAGUGCGAGAAGUCCGAGUAUACGGACCGUGUUGUAUGUACUUACCUGGAACCAGGACUAGCUCAGUCUUGACUCCUAUUGGCUUGGCCAGCACAAACAGAUUUUUUUUUUUUUUAAAUGGUGACAGAAAGAAAUAUAUAAUUCACUUUCCCGUGGCAACGUGAUGGCCAAUACAAAUCUUGUUGCUGCAUGGUUAUUUUUACUGCUGUGACAAUACCGGUCAAAUUAAGAUCCAACAUUUGUAGUAGUAGUAGGCAGUUGUUUUUUUAAAAGUUUGUGAGUUUGUGAGAAAAAAAAACGCGUUGAUUCGUUUACAAAAACAGCUGUAUCUUGAUUGGUAGAAGUAAUUUAUCUUUUGAUCGCCCGAUUUUGAAUGUCAGAGAAGAAUUACUAGCAUGUCCUAAGGCUCUAAGGGCCCGGUUCUGACGUAGGAAAUGUAUGCCUUUCCGACGCACUUCUCAGUCGUCGGUAUUCAGACUGACCUUAUGCAGGUGUGUUACAGGCUUUGUAGGCUGGGUUCCCUUGCGGGUGCUGAAUACAUUUAAUUCAGUCUGAAUACAUUUCGUUCAGUCUGAAUACAUUUCAUUCAGUCUGAAUACAUUUAGUUCAGUCUGAAUACAUUUAGUUCAGUCUGAAUACAUUUCAUUCAGUCUGAAUACAUAGAACCCGAUGGCCACUCUGACAGAGCUCUAGAGUUCCACUGUGGAGAUGGGAGAAUCUUCCAGAAGGACAACCAUCUCUGCAGCACUCCACCAAUUAGGCCUUUAUGGUAGAGUGGCCAGACAGAAGCCACUCCUCAGUAAAAGGGACAUGACAGCCCGCUUGGAGUUUGCCAAAAGGCACCAAAAGACUGAAACCAUGAGAAACAAUAUUCUCUGGUCUGAUGAAACGAAGAUUGAACUAUUUGGCCUGAAUGCCAAGCGUCACAUCUGGAGAAAACCUGGCACCAUCCCUUCGGUGAAGCACGGUGGUGGCAGCAUCAUGCUGUGGGGAUGUUUUUCAUUAGCAGGGACUGGGAGACUAGUCAGGAUCGAGGGAAAGAUGAACGGAGCGGUGAGAGAGAGACCUGAAAAUAGCUGUGCAGCGACGCUCCCCAUCCAACCUGACAGAGCUUGAGAGGAUCUGCAGAGAAGAAUGGGAGAAACUCCCCAAAUACAGGUGUGCCAAGCGUGUAGUGUCAAUUUAAUCCAUUUUAGAAUAAGGCUGUAACGUAACAAAAUGUGGACAAAGUCAAGGGGUCUGAAUACUUUCCGAAAGCGCUGUAUAUUAAAUGCUUCAGAAAAUGUAUUUAAUGCAUUUCAAAGUAAUGUAUUUUGGAAUAUAUUUUAUAAUGUAUUUAUCAAUACAUUUGGUAAAUAUAUAUUUACAAAUGUUUUUUGUGAAGUGAUUUCCAACAUGCAUUUAAAUGUAUUUGUAAGAAAAAAAAAUUUUAUAAUUAAAAUGUAUAGCAAAUAUAAGAAAUUGGCGAAAUCAUAUUGUAACAAAAUGGUGACUUUAUUAACAAUUAAGCUAUUAUGUAUGCUGUUGCCUUGACUGUUGAUCUGACUGUUGAUCUGGCUGUUGCCUUGACUGUUGAUCUGACUGUUGCCUUGACUGUUGAUCUGACUGUUGCCUUGACUGUUGAUCUGGCUGUUGAUCUGGCUGUUGAUCUGGCUGUUGAUCUGACUGUUGAUCUGGCUGUUGAUCUGGCUGUUGAUCUGGCUGUUGCCUUGACUGUUGAUCUGACUGUUGCCUUGACUGUUGCCCUGACUGUUGAUCUGGCUGUUGAUCUGACUGUUGAUCUGACUGUUGAUCUGGCUGUUGCCCUGACUGUUGAUCUGGCUGUUGAUCUGACUGUUGAUCUGACUGUUGAUCUGGCUGUUGAUCUGACUGUUUAUCUGACUGUUGAUCUGGCUGUUGAUCUGGCUGUGUCAAAACUACAGUCACAUUUCAUAGCUAUGCAGGAAUCCAUUGCUGAUUUUUAAAAGGUGUGCUUAAAUACGGGCAGAGCGAAAAGCAUUUUGUUUUCAAACUCUCGUAAGAAUGUUUCAGAUGAACUACGUGUUAACACUCGAUGGUUCUCCAAUCAAACGUGUUCCCGCAUAUCAAUACUUAGACAUCGGGAUUGUUGUUUAAAAAAAAACAUAUAGACGAGCUGGUUAAGAAGAAGCUAAGAUUUAAAAGUUGUCUUUUUCUACAGAAACAGAUCGUAAUGUUCUCUUAGCGGUAGGAAGCAGAUUAUUGUCAACCUUUUUAUCUGUUGUUGUUUAUGGUGGUAUUAUUUAUCAAAGUGCAGCUGCUACUACUCUUAAACCUUUAGGUGCCAUCUCCCAUAAUGCCCGUUGUUUUGUUACAGGGGACAGUUUUAAUACUCAUCACUGUAUCCUGUAUCAAAAGGUUGUCUGGACUUCCCUAAAGACCCGUAGAUCUCUACGUGACUCCCGUUUUGUUACAGGGGACAGUUUUAAUACUCAUCACUGUAUCCUGUAUCAAAAGGUUGUCUGGACUUCCCUAAAGACCCGUAGAUCUCUACGUGACUCCCGUUUUGUUACAGGGGACAGUUUUAAUACUCAUCACUGUAUCCUGUAUCAAAAGGUUGUCUGGACUUCCCUAAAGACCUGUAGAUCUCUACAUGACUCCCUCUUUGUUUACAACGCCCUACUACAUCAACUUCUGUCUUAUCUAACUCUGCUGUUGAAGUAUAGACACCUGAUUUGCCCUAACCAGUUCACAGGAUUGGUUAACUCUCAAGGUUCCUAACCAGUUCACAGGAUUGGUUAACUCUCAAGGUUCCUAACCAGUUCACAGGAUUGGUUAACUCUCAAGGUUCCUAACCUGUUCACAGGAUUGGUUAACUAGAGGUUCCUAACCAGUUCACAGGAUUGGUUAACUCUUGAGGUUCCUAACCAGUUCACAGGAUUGGUUAACUCUUAAGGUUCCUAGGGUCUCCACCGAGCUAGAUAAAUCUGCUUUUAGUUUUAAUUCCAAAUACAUUUCAUCUUGAUGUUCUGGUUUAAAGUCUUUAUUGACGACUUAUUUGUGGAGGAAUUUAACUGUUUUUCUGGGUGAUGUUUUAUUUCCCAUGAAUGUGUUUUUGUAUUUUAGUCUGUGUAUGUGUUUAGGUUUGUGUAUAUUGUAUUAUACAGGGCAUAUUUGGAAAUGAGACCUAGGUUUCAAUGUGUCUUCCCUUUAAAUAAAUAAUUAAACAUUAUGAAAACUUAGUAGGCUCCUUGGUAUCACAUGCACUUACAGUUGAAGUCGGAAGUUUACAUACACCUUAGCCAAAUACAUUUAAACUCAGUUUUUCACAAUUCCUGACAUUUAAUCCUAGUAAAAAAUCCCUGUUUUAGUUCAGUUAGGAUCACCACUUUAUUUUAAGAAUGUGAAAUGUCAGAAUAAUAGUAGAGAGAAUGAUUUAUUUCAGCUUUUAUUUCUUUCAUCACAUUCCCAGUGGGUCAGAAGUUUACAUAGAUUCGAUUAGUAUUUGGUAGCAUUGCCUUUAAAUUGUUUAACUUGGGUCAAAUGUUUCGGGUAGCCUUCCACAAGCUUCCCACAAUAAGUUGGGUGAAUUUUGGCCCAUUCCUCCUGACAGAGCUGGUGUAACUGAGUCAGGUUUGUAGGCCUCCUUUCUCGCACACGCUUUUUCAGUUCUGCCCACAAUAUUUUGAUAGAAUUGAGGUCAGGGUUUUGUGAUGGCCACUCCAAUCCCUUGGCUUUGCUGUCCUUAAGCCAUUUUUUGUCACAACUUUGGAAGUUUGCUUGGGGUCAUUGUCCAGUUAGAAGACCCAUUUGCGACCAAUCUUUAACUUCCUGACUGAUGUCUUGAGAUGUUGCUUCAAUAUAUCCACGUCAUUUUCCAAAAUGUGUUUACAAUACCGCUUUGGUGAAAAUAGACCAAAUUAUUAGCGUGAGGAACAUGGGCUACUAACAGCUUGCUAUUGCUUAUAUUUUAGCCUACUUGGUAAAUACUUUUAUAUCGUCUUCUUGAUCUACACUGUUGGUUGAGGGUUUGUAAGUCAGCAUUUCCCAGUAAGGUCUACACCUGUUGGUUAAGGGUUUGUAAGUCAGCAUUUCACCGUAAGGUCUACACCUGUUGGUUAAGGGUUUGUUAGUCAGCAUUUCACCGUAAGGUCUACACCUGUUGGUUAAGGGUUUGUUAGUCAGCAUUUCACAGGAAGGUCUACACCUGUUGGUUAAGGGUUUGUAAGUCAGCAUUUCACCGUAAGGUCUACACCUGUUGGUUAAGGGUUUGUUAGUCAGCAUUUCACCGUAAGGUCUACACCUGUUGGUUAAGGGUUUGUUAGUCAGCAUUUCACAGGAAGGUCUACACCUGUUGGUUAAGUGUUUGUUAGUCAGCAUUUCACAGGAAGGUCUACACCUGUUGGUUAAGUGUUUGUUAGUCAGCAUUUCACGGUGAGGUCUACACCUGUUGUAUUCGGAUUACACCCUGAUGAAGACAGCUUGCCUGUCGAAACGUUGGACAUUACAUUUUUGUAUUGUGAGCUCCUAGAGUGUGCGGCUCUCCUUUUGUUUUCACGUUUUCUACUCCGCUAGCCGGCACCUCGCCUAAAUAAAUGUGCUGUUUCCUUUUCCUCUAGAGUAUUCGGCGCAUGUGACAAAUAAAGUUUGAAUUGAUUUAAAUGGGGUUUUUUUUAAUAACAUUGUAUGGGAAGUACCACCAACAGUCUGAAAGUCUGAAUCAAACACAUCGUUUCCACGUUUGAUACCGUAUCGUCCACUCUAUUCUUGCAAUAUGAGUAAAAUAGUUUUCCUUCCAAUUUGUUUUAUAUUAACUAUGUCAAAAAGCAACUUUUCUGUGUUUGAAUGGUGUGGGCUUAUACCGGUCAUAAGGCCAUCAAUGUAAAGAAGAAUGUGUCCUUAACAGACUUCCCUUGUUAAUUAAAGGUUAAAAAAAAUAUUCAUCAUAAUAAUUUAAAUAUUCAUGCAAGUAGAUCACUGAUUGGCCAGUUCAGCCUCCUCUAGACUGCUGACAUCAUACUCUAUGAGGAAAUUGGAAGCAUUUUUUAAACGGUCUGUUUGAGAUGGGAUUUUCAAAGUGUUUUUUCUAUGAGGAUAGGGUGACUCAACAACAAUAUUUGGGUAUGAGUUAACAGAAUAUUAACUUUUAAAAAUGAGAUUUUCACUUGACAGUGACAAUGUAUCAGCUUUCUAAUGUGAUCAAAAAUACUGAAUGAAUAACAUUUUUGGUGAAGUAAAUGUCUGAAGGGGACAACUUGGUCAAAUAAAGGACAACUUGGUGAAGUAAA